rnacentral:rRNA from 1 species
AUUGAACGCUGGCGGCAGGCCUAACACAUGCAAGUCGAGCGCGCGGCGGACGGGUGUGUAAUGUCUCGGAAACUGCCUGAUGUAGGGGGAUAACUACUGGAAACGGUAGCUAAUAUCCCAUACCAUCAGAUGUGUCCAGAUGGGAUUAGCUAGUAGGUGGGGUAACGGCUCACCCAGGCGACGAUCCCUAGCUGGGCUGAGAGGAUGACCAGCCACACUGGAACUGAGACACGGUCCAGACUCCUACGGGAGGCAGCAGUGGGGAAUAUUGCACAAUGGGCGCAAGCCUGAUGCAGCCAUGCCGCGUGUAUGAAGAAGGCCUUCGGGUUGUAAAGCACUUUCAGCGGGGAGGCGUUACCCGCAGAAGAAGCACCGGCUAACUCCGUGCCAGCAGCCGCGGUAAUUC